CGCAGGCCGCGAGCAACAGAUCCUAAACCAGCUGAGGGAACCAUCUAAACCGGGACAACAGACAAUGAGGAUGCAGCAUGAAUUAACAAAGAUGCUUAAGAAGAUAGACGCAAAACGUAACAAUCACAAACGGAAAGUACAAAAACGAAGACUUCUUGGAUAAGGAUAUCUACCUGGGUACCUACAAAACCAACUAGUACAAUUUCAGGCACAAUUCAA
rnacentral:misc_RNA from 1 species